GACGAACGCUGGCGGCGUGCCUAAUACAUGCAAGUAGAACGCUGAAGAGAGGAGCUUGCUCUUCUUGGAUGAGUUGCGAACGGGUGAGUAACGCGUAGGUAACCUGCCUUGUAGCGGGGGAUAACUAUUGGAAACGAUAGCUAAUACCGCAUAACAAUGGAUGACACAUGUCAUUUAUUUGAAAGGGGCAAUUGCUCCACUACAAGAUGGACCUGCGUUGUAUUAGCUAGUAGGUGAGGUAACGGCUCACCUAGGCGACGAUACAUAGCCGACCUGAGAGGGUGAUCGGCCACACUGGGACUGAGACACGGCCCAGACUCCUACGGGAGGCAGCAGUAGGGAAUCUUCGGCAAUGGGGGCAACCCUGACCGAGCAACGCCGCGUGAGUGAAGAAGGUUUUCGGAUCGUAAAGCUCUGUUGUAAGUCAAGAACGAGUGUGAGAGUGGAAAGUUCACACUGUGACGGUAGCUUACCAGAAAGGGACGGCUAACUACGUGCCAGCAGCCGCGGUAAUACGUAGGUCCCGAGCGUUGUCCGGAUUUAUUGGGCGUAAAGCGAGCGCAGGCGGUUUGAUAAGUCUGAAGUUAAAGGCUGUGGCCCAACCAUAGUUCGCUUUGGAAACUGUCAAACUUGAGUGCAGAAGGGGAGGGUGGAAUUCCAUGUGUAGCGGUGAAAUGCGUAGAUAUAUGGAGGAACACCGGUGGCGAAAGCGGCUCUCUGGUCUGUAACUGACGCUGAGGCUCGAAAGCGUGGGGAGCGAACAGGAUUAGAUACCCUGGUAGUCCACGCCGUAAACGAUGAGUGCUAGGUGUUGGAUCCUUUCCGGGAUUCAGUGCCGCAGCUAACGCAUUAAGCACUCCGCCUGGGGAGUACGACCGCAAGGUUGAAACUCAAAGGAAUUGACGGGGGCCCGCACAAGCGGUGGAGCAUGUGGUUUAAUUCGAAGCAACGCGAAGAACCUUACCAGGUCUUGACAUCCCGAUGCUAUUUCUAGAGAUAGAAAGUUACUUCGGUACAUCGGUGACAGGUGGUGCAUGGUUGUCGUCAGCUCGUGUCGUGAGAUGUUGGGUUAAGUCCCGCAACGAGCGCAACCCCUAUUGUUAGUUGCCAUCAUUCAGUUGGGCACUCUAGCGAGACUGCCGGUAAUAAACCGGAGGAAGGUGGGGAUGACGUCAAAUCAUCAUGCCCCUUAUGACCUGGGCUACACACGUGCUACAAUGGUUGGUACAACGAGUUGCGAGUCGGUGACGGCAAGCUAAUCUCUUAAAGCCAAUCUCAGUUCGGAUUGUAGGCUGCAACUCGCCUACAUGAAGUCGGAAUCGCUAGUAAUCGCGGAUCAGCACGCCGCGGUGAAUACGUUCCCGGGCCU
rnacentral:rRNA from 1 species